rnacentral:lncRNA from 1 species
GAGAAAAUUGAUUCAGGCAAAAAGGUGUGGACAGCUCUCAAACAAUUUCAGGCAAGUGGGAAGCAUGAAGAGGUUAGUAUAUACACAUGUUCUGGUGUGCUCUGUCAUCAAAUAAUUUUCAUUGUGUGUUAAUCAUCUCAUAACAUAAGGAGUGUUUGCUUGAUGGGCAUUCAGACCAAAUGAUGAACGAAUUAGAUCCUAGGUUCUCCAAAAGAUGACAUUGUGUUUUGCUUCAAUUACCUGAUAAAUUUUCAGCCUUUGCAUCAAAAUGAUUUUAUGCAUUUGUUAUCACACUAACUUGUAUUUUUUUAAGCACAACCAUGCAUAUAUGUAAAAAAAACUCAUGGCCACUUGUGUGGUUGAUAGAAAUCAGUUAACAUCUCAAUUUCCUCAUGUGCUAUUGUAUGACUACGGAGGUUUUUUCUAACAUGCUCCCUCUUACCUCCCCUUUUCACAUGAGACGUAAGAGUAUAAAGUAAAUCUGAGUCAUUGAGUGCAUUAAGUAGUGGACUUGACUAAAUCUUACCUUCUUAACUCCCAUGUGAAAAGAUGGGGUAAGAGGAAGCAUGUUAAAAUGGCUCAUGAAUGUGGUGGUGCCGCCAGUGGCGGAGCUUGAGCAUAAUCCAAGAGGGCCAUUACUUGAAGGGGAGCAAAUUAGAUGGGAAGGAGGGGCAAAUAUCUAGUUUAAACACUAGUUAGGCUUAAAAUAUAGUAUAUUCAUUGAUGGGUGCAAAAAUUAAGGGGGGCCAUGGCCCCUAUUGGUCUACAUGAAGCUCCGCCACUUGUUGUUGCACAUUCUACCGUGUUGUUAUAGACACUGACUGAAUCUUGUUUUUGCACUAUAUCAAAAUGUACUAGCAGUCAUAAGACACCAAUCUGUCAGGAUCUCGGCUUUUGGCCUUCUGCUAGGAUGCACUAAAGAUAUUGAUAAGUCUCGCCAUUCCUGGAUGUUGUGAAGGUUACCUGACUGGAACAGAUUGUUCUGGAGAAGGAUAUGGCGGCGUGGCAAACCUAAAGUAGCAAUGAUGCAACAAAUGGAAUGUGAUCGAUAAUGGUAUUCUCUAUGGGUGCACACCAGAGAGCAUACAAAUUAGGGUCUGCAUGGACGACCAAAACACGUGGCAUUUUUUUAUCAACAUACCAAUAGGGUCUGCAUGGACGACCAAAACACAUGGCAUUUUUUUAUCAACUAUCCCAUCCUUUUUCCUUUGAUCUACUAACAUUGGUUUCAAGUUAUUGUAGAAGUUUCUUGUAGUGACUGGUUAAAAUAAUUCACACAUGUUCGGCUAUUCAUGCUAUGUUUUACAAUCUGUUCCGAUGAUGAAUAUCCAUUUUUCCAAAAAUAGUGCAUCUACCUCUGACUCUUUCGCAUUAAACUAUACAAUUGAAUUCGCUGAAGAAGGGAAAACCUCCCACUUUCAACCAAUAUGAGUUUGAUCUAAACCAGAUCAUACUACGGGCUGGGUCGGGUUUGGGUCGGGCUUCACAAAGCCUGGAGUCAACAAUCCAAGCCCAAGCCCGGCUUGGCCCGGCUAAAAGCACAUCGACAAUGGCUUCUCAAUUUAACUAAUUAUAUUUGGGAUAUUAAAAUGAUAUUAUAUACCUAUAUUUUGAAUAAAAUAUACAUUUGUUGCCAUUUCGGGCUUUUGGGCCGCGCUUCGGGCGAGAAAUUGAAGCCCAAGCCUACCCCAGAUGUCGGGCUUUGGGCUCGGGCCUCUUGGCCGGGUAGUCCAUGAACAGUUUUAGUUUGAUCUAUUCACUCACAUUUUGAUCCUCGUUCAUUAUAUCAUUUAACCAUAAUUCAUAUGAACAUGCACCACGUGAAUAUAAUAAAGAAAAUGGGACAAUUUGUAGUAUACAACGCCUUAUGGUGCGAUAUCACAGGAACAUUUUUCUCCUUGAUUACAGUGUCAAAUCAUAUAUUAUAUGACAAAUUAAGUAUAUUGUUUUGCUUAUUUCAGUAUUACCUUCAUAAGGAAUAUAGUCACAAAUUUUGCUCCAAACGCAACGUUAUUGAGUUCAUACGAAAUGGAACUGUGAAAGGGAAGCCAGUUCAGAAGGUGCCUAAAUACUUGACUUUCAAACAUAUAGUAAUUAUGCGAAGAUGUAUAUGUUUUUUGUAUUAACUUUAAAGUAUUAAUUUGACACGGUAUCCUAUUUUUGCACAGAGAUCAUCUGAUACUUCUACGAACAAUCUUCAGGGUAUGUCCAGUUGGCCAUGCAUUUGGAUAUUAUUUUGUCUACUAUUAUUACUAUAGAGAGAAAUCUAACUGAAACUGAAAUAUAAUAAAUAUUCAUGGAGAGAAAAAUAGACAUUAAUGUCCACAUACACAACACAAUUAGCCAGUACUAUCCUAGUUUACAUGAAUUAAUAUUUGCAAUGACAUUUAGGUUACUCAUGACAUGAUAAAGAAAAAGUUUUUUUUGCGAGGUAAGAUAAGGUUUUAUAUAACUGUUCAUGGGGACCUCCUCAUGGUUGCAGAUACAUAGUUUUACAGUGCUUCAUGAAAUAGUUGCAUAUCAUCAUGUCUAAAAGAAGAAUCAUGACGGACACAACUUCAAGAAUUCUUCUUGUAAAAUAACAUAAUUUGUAUAUACCUCAUAGAGGAUGUAACUUGUUGGUAGCAUUUAAUAUUGUGACAUACUCGCCAUCUUUUGUGCCAGCAUUAUUUGGGUGAUGAUUUAAUAUCCAAAAGCAUACAUCAAGGUAGUUAUGUGUAAUGAUAUUCUUGUGAAAGUAACUCUCAUAGUGUAUACUUGCAUAUAUGUAUUGUUCUAUUGUAUUCUCACAGUUAAUCCUUUUUCUUGAUGUUUUGUUUGUUUAUUUAUGUUUAGAGCAAGAUUAUAAAUUAAGCUGAGCAUAAUUUCUGCAGAUUAUAGAUGGCCCACUAAAAGACAAAGGACGAAGGCGCAAACUUCAAGUAAUUCUUCUUGCCACAUAGGUUUUCCUUAUUGUGCGAGGAUACCACUUGUAACUGCCUUCAGUCAUCUAUGUCAGUAGUAUUUUGAGAAGAAUUUCCUUACAAAAUGCAACGACUCAAACAAUCAGAUUUUUCAUGAUGAUUCCUAAUUGUAUAACCAAUAAGCUUAACACACCUUCCUAUUUUAGAGUUGUUAUCUUAAUAAAUAUAUACUAUCUAUUAUUAAUGUUGUUGUUGGGUGAAGAACAUUUGUUGCUCAUGGUUAGAAUGUAGAAUUUUAUUAACACAACAACCUAGAGCGAAUGUGGAGGCCAAUAUAGAUUGAAACCAUUAAUUCAUAUUAAAAUGGUCAUGAUUUCUUAUUUUUAUUUGACAUAGAUGUUUGUGACUUGUUUGAAUUAAUGUGUUCUUCCAUUAUUUGAUAUUUCUAUAUUCAUACUAUUUUUAUGAAAUGUGCAGCUAGUUUGUCAACCGGGGCACGAACAACCACAACUUCUACAAAGCUUCCACAUGGUUUCAUCUAGUAUCAUGCGGAAGACAUUGAGACAAUCAAGAUUACUUGAGCAACCUGAAUUAUGUUAGUUGUUACCUGCUUUCAAACGAAUGUGUCCUCUCAUAGUAUGUAUGUACUUCUGUUGUUGAGGAAUUUAUAUCAUUAGACAGUUCUAUUUUUAAUAAUUAUUGAUUAAUGGGUACAUACCUUCAAUCCUAGAAGACUGCCAGAUAGCCAGUCAAGGAAGCGAUUUGUUAUUGAACAGUGCAUAAUAGGGACAUUUUUACAUUCAAAGGAACAUCGUAGGAAU